AGGGAGAGGCCGCACAUAUGGGAAACGUCGAAGAGGGAGCCGUUGGCGCGGCAAUUGAGGGUGGAGUCAAUGAUGGAGUCCUUGUACUGGAUCGGCAUGCUCCAGCCUGCGAAGGGGACCAUCUUGGCGCCGUGUUCGACGUGGAAGUCGUGGAGGGCGGUUUUCUUGAGCUCGCCGGCGGCGGUAGCGAGGCGGCGGUGGGAGAGGCGGCGGGAAAGAGAGUGGCGGAGCUGCCAUAGAGAGGAGCCUCGCAUG
rnacentral:misc_RNA from 1 species